AACAGAGUAGGUGGCAGUGAGUUGGCAAGUGCCGGGGAUACAGGGAGUUGAUUCCCGGACGAAAACUCAUGUGCGUUCGGUAAAUACAAAGAAUGCUGUGCCGUGCGCAGAAUGUUUGUUGCUGUGCUGUCGCCGCAUCCCGCUGUU
rfam:Clostridium sp. CAG:138 genomic scaffold, scf11